UGAUUCCAGGGUUUCUGAGAGGAGCAACAGAAGACAUGGCAGUCUGUGACAGAUGAGGAGGAAGGGCAGAUUGGGGAGGCUCCUCUCUGAAGAGACCAACAAUAGUGCAUUCAUCAGAAGAGCUCCAGUUGGAGCCCAGGAAGAGACAACGGAAGGCUGGGACCAGACGGGCUGGCUAGAGACCAGUCUGAAGAAAGAAAGACAACGUCCUUCUUGGCCACACCCACCCAGAAUAGAUCUUCCAUUACAUUGAACUGGGAGACAGGAACUCUGCGAUUAUGUUAGGCCCACCUGGAUAACCUAGGAUAAUCUCAUUUCAAGAUUUUUAACUUUGAUCACAUCUGCAAUUUUCCUCUUGACAGGUAAAGUAACACUACCCAGGUUACGGCAAUUGGUGCAUAAACAUCUUGGCACAGGGGGAUGUGGGGAGAGGAGAAAUUUUUCAGAAUCGUACAAUUUUAGUGUUUGGAAGAAGCUUUAGUCUUUGUGAUGAAGAACCUAUAGCGUGGAUUGUUAAAGUCAUAAUGAAGGUCUUAUGACUAUGGUGUGACAGAGCUAGAAACAGGUCUCCAGACUCCUGUUUUAGAAUGUUAGAUUUUAAUGACUAAACAAAAAUAAAAAUAUUAUUUGUGGAUUCUAAGCCAUAGAUAAAAAUUUUAAAUUGGGGGAUUAUGAAAACUCAAAAUGAGUUUUUAUCAAAACUGGCUUGUUCCGUUGCUCAGUCAUGUCCAAUACUUUGUGACCCCCUAGACUGC